GUCUACAGCCAUACCACCCUGAAAGCUCCCGAUCUCAUCUGAUCUCAGAAGCUAAGCAGGGUCGGGCCUGGUUAGUACUUGGAUAGGAGAAAUAACCCUGUCUGAGAAACUUAAGUACAGAAAUUU
rnacentral:rRNA from 1 species